CGCCUGCCCUGGUGCUCCGGCUGACGCCAGUGUUUUUUCUGCCCCUUUUAAAACUGAGCUGGAGUGUUCCUGACUCCUCCAUUCGACACCUCUGGCUCCCUUAUUCCCCUCGAACAACCUGGUUAUGAAGGAAAUAGGGAUGGUGCAUGAUGUGUUACUGGGACAAGGGAAGGAAACCUGUGGUGAUUCCUUCUGCAAUCAAAGCCGGCUUCAGAAUAUACAGAAAAGAACUCAGUAAACCUUCUUGGACCGAGCUCCAGGACUCCUCAUUCAAAUAAUGCAGUCCACUAUGGACUGAUGCGAGCGAGGAGACGUGGAGGCUGUCAGCAUCACCUGGCACAGCACAGACAUCAGGAUGGUGGCAUCAGGAUGCUGUGACCUCUGGCUGGUCAUUGGAAGAAAGCUGAUGUGAUGGAACACUGUCCUGGCAUAAGAAUAGCUGCCUCCAAAGCCUUCCAUUCCUCUCUAUGUUCUCCUGAAGGGGAUGGUUUAAUACCAUAGGCAAAGAUUUUCUUAUAGGUCUUCAAGUACCACAACUGUAUUUGUCUUUGCUUCUUUCUGAUGUAUAAGGAAAUGCCUUGAAAAGUGAGGUUUUCAAACUGUCUGGAGGAAAGCUCAUCUUUUGGCAUCUGCUUAAGCCGUACCAAACACAGCGGGGGUUGUGUUCCUGGAUGGCGUGCAGCAAGCAGGCACUACAGGUGUCAGGCAUUUGCAUUUGCUGGAGGACUUCUUAGAGUUCUCUGAUGGGUGCUGGGACUGCCCUCUCACUGUAAGGUGAAGGCCUGAAGUUAUUAUAUCUUAAUCAAUGUCGAGUUUUCUUGGAGUGCUGUGAUUUUCUUUAAAAAAAAUUAAAUGGAUCCUUGGUUGGGGCAAAUCCAUGUGGUUCCACUGACUGUCUUGCAGCUAAGCUAGGUUUUUGCUAGCGAGGAAGCCGGCUUUAAGAACUUAAAGGAGCCUUCCUAGGAUUCACUCUUCUAUCCUUCAUUUUUUGAUGACAGGUUUUGACUCCUGUUUCCAUUUUGCAAAUGGCCAGCAAGUCCCGAGCCAGGAAAAACUGGAAUUCCUUUGAUAGCUCAGAUGAGAUCAUAACUUAGAGCCAAACUCUGCAGAUGUUUGGGGCUUUGAUUUGAAUCAUCCAAUAACAGAUUUACUUAUUGCUGCUCACUUCAAAUUUAGUGGUUAAGAUAGUUUCCAAUCAGCCACCUGAUCAGCAUCUACUAGGAAGCAUGACCAGCCUGCCUCAUCUGUUGAAUCUGGAGUUGGAGAGCUGAGCAGGUCCAUGACACAGGACAAAGCAUUCUUUGUAGAGUAAAUUUUUCUUCUCUAAAAAUAUAUAUAUUUUUUUCCCCUGAUGCUUUGUUUUUCUUGUUACCGAGGUGUGGAAAGACAAAAAGAAGAAAAAAAUAAUAACUCCAGAUUGAGCAGAAAACAGAGAGUAAAAUUAGCUGAGGAACUUCCAAACAAGUGUGUAUGUGUACACACAGGAGAGCUUGGUUUUGUUUACUAUUUGUUUUGAAUUUCCAUUCUUUGCCCUCAGAUCAAGCUCCAGGAGAAGGGAGAGCCUGGAAUGAGGUCUCAGAUGUCUGCAGCUCUGAAAAGCUGUGAGAGGAACCCUAGUGAAAGGCUGAAGCAGCAGAUGCAUGUGCAACACUUUCAAUGGCUUUUUGCUAUAGAAUCCUUGCUUCCUGAGAGUUUUAUUCCCUUUGUAAUUACUGAGAAAGAUGGUAACCAAGGAAAGGCCAGUAUCUGUUAACCUCUUCAGUGCUGUGCAUCUGGGUGAUGGCUGUCAUCUGCAUCACAGGAGAGCCUAGAGGCUGAGACCAAGUGCUCUGGGCUGAUCUGUGCAUUGUAACACCAAAGUCCUUAUCUGACAGAUAUGACAAAAGAACAAGACUCACAAAGGAAGUGCAGGAGCUCUCACAUCAGUGUUAAGUAAAAUCCUGCCUGGACGAUUCCUUAACAACGAAUUGAUAAACUUUCAGCAUGCUAAUGAUUCCAUUGGGGCAUUGGAGAAAUAAGCAGCCUGUGUGGGUAAAAUGUUCUAUUAACUCCAAUAACCAGAUUUUUGCAUCCUUUUUGUUUGCAGACUGCUUAUUUUCUGAUCCUGGUGACUGCUGAAACCAAGUUCCACAUGUAGAUCACUGCCUGGUUUGAAGCCAUGUGGUUGUUCCAAUGUUCUCGGUCCUGUAAACAUCUCCUAGAACAUGGCAUACCACUUCAUCUGCCUCUCAUUAAGUAGAGAAUGUGAUUACUAUUAUGCACGGAGUUGUCAAACCAGUCUGGUGUUUGCAGACUUUACCAAGGAUCAGGUGUCCUCCUUCACCACGAUGCCAUCCUCUUCUCAAUAGCUGCCACUGGCAAAGUUAGAGAGUGCUUAAAAAAACCCACAAAUAUACAGUACACAAGAUAAAGUACCAAAAUACAGGUGUAGCAUGUGUCAGGGAAUUAUUUAAAGUGUCUGAAGCUUGAAACGCUGAAGUUAAAGUAUCAGCUGGGAUCUGGUCUUAGCUUGGUCACAAACAGAACAUGCAAAGUGCUCAGGAAAGGAGGCCUUGCUGUGGAAAGCUAACUCUUCUGUGUCUGUUUCUUCCCACCUGGAGCUCCAGCAGAGGAAGAACGCAGUGAAGAGAAUGAGGAUCUGAAGAGAACAAGUGCCAGUGCAGCACGGUGCAUUCUGGAGGGCCAGAAUUGUUGUUAACUUCUGCCUGCUACACACACAGACUUGUUGGUCCUUGUGGGAUGGGACUGCUUCCCCUUCUAUUUUGCAGCUCUUCGUUAUCUCUCAUGAGACAGGCAACGGUAACACAGUGUGUUUGUCUCUGCCUGGGUUCCUCUGCUCUCACGUUUCUAGUGUUCACCUUGCGUUAGGAAAAAGUGGAGCGUGCUGCAGAGCACAGAUGUGCAUACGUCCUUGUGGUAGAAGGGGGACUGGGAGCCAUCUGCCUUUCAUAAGCGCAGAUGUUUCCCUCUGAAGGUGGGACUUAUGUCAAGUGCCCUUCAACUGCUCAAGCUUACCUCCUGAUAGAGUUGUGUUCAUUAUGUCAGGGCUAGCCACAGUUGAGAAAAGGGAGUGUUAUCAUUUGCCAGUUUACUCUGAUACCCUGUGUAUGUAUGUUGUCUUUAACCAGGCUGAAUAAAAAGCAGAAAGGUCUGCUCAUGUCAUGGACUUACUGGUAAAUG